UGGGGCUAGAACCAGGGUCCGCUGGCCCCCAGACUCUGGCUUUUUUCUUUUUCCAUACUUACUAUAGACCUUCUCUCUCCCCUCUCUCCUCUUUCCCUUUCUCUUUCUUUCCUUGUUUUUCUCCCUGAAAUACCUCGAGAGGAAGAGAGCUGGGGAGACAGGACAGGAGAAUGACAGGAGGUGAAGACCCAGGGUCUUGAAGUACCAGUCCUGGUUUGGAGGCAGAGGAGGAAAGCUUUGCCAGGUGCCCCAGGAACUCUGAGGCCACCAGGGGCCGCUUGCACAAUUGCAGGAGCCGCCGUUCCGUCAGCACUGCUUGGAUGGCCUGGAGAACGCAGCCAGGAAGGUAAGGAUCAGCCUCCCCACUUAACCUGGGAAAGUGAGACUCCAAGGACUAAAGUGGCCUGCCCGUGUCUACAGAACCAGGCCAGGACCCAGAGCGCUGGGCUGCUUGUCUAGUGACACUUCCAGAACACCUGGCUGUGGAGGUGAGGACUCAGAGCAGUGGGGAUGGGAAGAAGCGGGGAGCUUUGGCAGGGGUGGUCCCUCGACCCCUUCUCUAGCCUGUCCCCAAGCCCCAGGGCCUCACCAUAGCGAGAAGCGUAAUCGGGCCGCGGCAGGAGGAGGACCCGCUCGUAGGUGCGGCACAGCCCUUUCAUCUCAGCCGCCUGCGGCCGGUCAGUGGUCCCCAUCAGCCUCACGCGGUCUCCAGGAUUCAGCAGUCGCAGGGCCUUGGUUGCCAGGUGACAGGUCGAAAAGGUUGGCACCGGUUUCCGUGCACACGGCCUUGACCAGCAUCUUCUUCCCCAUGCCGGAGGGGCCCACCAGGAGAAUGGAGCAGAUGAGGGGGGCCAUGGAGUGUAUGUCUGGGGAGCCUGAGAGAGGAAACAGGGGCCGGCAGGGGGCCGGCAGGGGGUCAGGGGUGGAGACGUUGUAUCAGGUGAGGCCAAAGACCCCAGGCUGGGCAGGAUGAGGUCCUGGCCCUGGCGGCACUGCUUUCGCCUAGGGUCUGGGCAAUGCCCCGGGCAUGCCUUCUGUGGGGGGGCGCCCUGGAGGAAGUCCAACGGUGCAGCAAUCAUGAUUCCAAGAGCUACACGCGGUGUCAGGACAAAGCCCUCCACCUCCUCCCAAUGUCCCUUCUGCUUCCUGUACCAUCUGUUUCCACUCCUGGAUUUUGAAGGGAUGGAAUUAAAGGGCACGUGACAAACCACUUCAGAAA